GUGACCACUCAAAUAGCAACAAUCAGUUACUUUGUCGUUUUGUCCACAAGUGAUCAGGCAAUCUCUCUCGAUCAGACUUUGGUCCAAGAGAAGAAAUAAUUUCUCCCAGUCAGAGGCCAAGAAGCCAAACCCAGUAACCUCUGAUUGGCAAUUAUCUUAACCAGAAAAAAACUUGAAGACAAUGAGUGGUUCUUCUUGGCCUAGUGAGAAUGAGCUUAAUGAAAUAAAGGAUAGUAAGCCUACAAUGGCUGGGAGAGGUCCUGAAGAAGAGAGAGUUGUGGUCUCUCCUUGUCGAAUUUGUCCACUUGAUGCUCGCAUUGAUCAUCAGGCUGAUUGAAAAUGAAUAUUUGGGUCUGAAAAACGGCAUAUUGGAUCAAUCAGCAAUGUUGCUUUCAAGCCAUGCUUGCCUUACGCGCAUGAACUGCAAGUAAGCUGAAUAUGCAGAAGCGUAUAGCUAGCUACUUUCCUUGCGAAAAAUGUCAUUUCGGCCUCUUUCUUUAUUUGACACCAACAUGGUGAAGCAUGUGGUGAACUGCUUCUUCUUCUUCUUCUUCAACGAAAAUUCAGACAAAACCGAGCUCGAGUCUUUUUGAUUCGUAGAUCACUAAAGAACGCGAGCUUAUUAUUGGCGUUCUGAGGCUCGAAGAAUCCCUCGACCAACAGCCCUGGAUAUAAUCUUCGUGUGGCAUAGAGUGUUAAGAGGCUGCUAGAGUGCUUCUCAUGGCGUGUUAGAACCCAAGCUAGCUAAAAGGGCAGAACAUUAUUUCUCAGAGAAUAUGCGAGGCAUUACUCUAUUAACUUUUGUUCCUUCAA